GCUCUUUUAGUACAAAAAGUAUAAUUAGCCUCCAACUAAUAGAUUAAAUUUUUUAAAAGAGUA
rnacentral:tRNA from 1 species